rnacentral:rRNA from 1 species
AUGGGGGACACUGAUGCAGCCAUGCCGCGUGUGUGAAGAAGGCCUUCGGGUUGUAAAGCACUUUCAGCAAGGAGGAAAGGUCAGUAGCUAAUAUCUGCUGGCUGUGACGUUACUCGCAGAAGAAGCACCGGCUAACUCCGUGCCAGCAGCCGCGGUAAUACGGAGGGUGCAAGCGUUAAUCGGAAUUACUGGGCGUAAAGCUCACACAGGCGGUUGGAUAAGUUAGAUGUGAAAGCUCCGGGUUUA